rnacentral:rRNA from 1 species
GAUGAACGCUAGCGACAGGCCUAACACAUGCAAGUCGAGGGGCAGCAUAAAAGUAGCAAUACUUUGGUGGCGACCGGCGCACGGGUGAGUAACACGUAUGCAACCUGCCUGUAAGCGGGGAAUAACCCGGAGAAAUCCGGACUAAUACCGCAUAAUACCAUUUUUCUGCAUGGAAAGAUGGUUAAACAUUUAUGGCUUACAGAUGGACAUGCGUAUGAUUAGCUAGUUGGUGAGGUAACGGCUCACCAAGGCAACGAUCAUUAGGGGUUCUGAGAGGAAGGUCCCCCACACUGGUACUGAGACACGGACCAGACUCCUACGGGAGGCAG